AUUGAAGAACUUGUGAAUUCUCAUGAUAAAGAACUAACAGAAGAAGAUCUGGAAGGAAUGCUUGAAUCAUCUGAAGCAGAAGAAGAAAAAAGUUCAGAAGACAGAGUGAAGUUCACUUCAGCGAACUUGAAUAAGAUCUUGAAACUUGCAGAUGAACUGCCUGAAAUGGUUAUAGCAGCUGAUCCUAUAAUGGAACGAAGUCUGAAAUUCAAAAAUGGACUAGAUGACCUACUGGCUCCCUACAAAGUUUUGCAAAAUGAAAUGAGAAGAAAAGCCCAGCAACCAACUCUCCCCUCUUUCUUCAAGAAAAUUGAAUAUCCAGAUCGGAA
rnacentral:lncRNA from 1 species